ensembl:misc_RNA Metazoa_SRP Metazoan signal recognition particle RNA
GCCGGGCGUGGUGGCACACGCCUGUAAUCCCAGCUACUCAGGAGGCUGAGGCAGGAGAAUUGCUUGAACCCAGGAAGCGGAGGUUGCAGUGAGCUGUGAUUGUGCCACUGCACUCCAUCCUGGGUGACAGAGUGAGACUCAGUCUCAA